rnacentral:rRNA from 1 species
GAUGAACGCUGGCGGCGUGCCUAAUACAUGCAAGUCGAGCGAACAGACGAGGAGCUUGCUCCUCUGACGUUAGCGGCGGACGGGUGAGUAACACGUGGAUAACCUACCUAUAAGACUGGGAUAACUUCGGGAAACCGGAGCUAAUACCGGAUAAUAUAUUGAACCGCAUGGUUCAAUAUUGAAAGACGGUUUUGCUUUCACUUAUAGAUGGAUCCGCGCCGCAUUAGCUAGUUGGUAAGGUAACGGCUUACCAAGGCAACGAUGCGUAGCCGACCUGAGAGGGUGAUCGGCCACACUGGAACUGAGACACGGUCCAGACUCCUACGGGAGGCAGCAGUAGGGAAUCUUCCGCAAUGGGCGAAAGCCUGACGGAGCAACGCCGCGUGAGUGAUGAAGGUCUUCGGAUCGUAAAACUCUGUUAUUAGGGAAGAACAAAUGUGUAAGUAACUAUGCACGUCUUGAAGGUACCUAAUCAGAAAGCCAAGGCUAACUACGUG